UUCGCAAUGCCCGAAAGGGUGACGAAGCGACGCCGCGUGCGGGAAGAAGGCCUUCGGGUUGUAAACCGCUGUCGGGAGUUAAGAAAUGCAAGGGUGUUAACAGCAUCCUUGCUUGACUAAGGCUCCGGAGGAAGCCACGGCUAACUCUGUGCCAGCAGCCGCGGUAAUACAGAGGCGGCAAGCGUUGUUCGGAAUUAUUGGACGUAAAGAGCACGUAGGCGGCUGUGUAAGUCGGUUGUGAAAGCCUUCCGCUCAACGGGAGAACGGCAUCCGAUACUGCAUGGCUUGAGUGCGGGAGGGGAGAGUGGAACUUCUGGUGGAGCGGUGAAAUGCGUAGAUAUCAGAAGGAACACCGGCGGCGAAGGCGACUCUCUGGCCCGUAACUGACGCUGAGUGUGCGAAAGCUAGGGGAGCAAACGGGAUUAGAUACCCCGGUAGUCCUAGCCGUAAACGAUGGGCACUAAGUAGAGGGGUUUU
rnacentral:rRNA from 1 species